UGCAGAUGAUGUGAAAAAAUACUUGCUAUCUGAAUGGUAGUGCUGACAUACGUAACCACCAAGAUCGCUGAUGCA
ensembl:snoRNA SNORD24 Small nucleolar RNA SNORD24